rnacentral:lncRNA from 1 species
CUGGCUUGUAAGCCAACAGCUGUUUGUUUAGCAGUCUCAUGUAUUAUUGUUUCUUGAUUAUCUAUUGUAGGUUGGAGGUAGCUCUUGCUCAUCAAUGUACUCUGGCAGUGGUGUGGGUGGAAGCAGUUAUAUGGGUUCAGGCGGUUCUGGCUCGUACUACUUGAGGUAAUUUAAUUUGUUGUGUUAUUCAUGUUUUAUUAAGUCAGUGAUGCAUGCUUGAGUACGAGCCCAAGGUGCCCAAGUCAUUACUAUUUUUUCCUCUGGAGAUUUAUGUUUUUCGAAGUCACGGCUUCUCUUCUUUUGCUCUAAAAGGUCAUGCCCUACAGUAUGUGCUGAGAAUCUUUCAUUGUAUACAAUAGGGUUGUUGUGGUUCAUGCCCUCUUGGAUAUCCACAGAUUGGAUGCUAUGUCAGGCUGUAGUUAUUUUGCUGCAAGGAUACUCAAGCUGUCUCGUCUAAUUUAUCUCCUAUAAGAACUUCACCUGAUGGAAAGCUUGGAGUCAUGCUGCAUCCUUUGUUCUUAUGAAUAGUAGAUUAUAACAAGAGGAGGACGGAUUUUCUUAUUGUAAUAUCUAUCGUAUAGCCGUACGGCUCUUCC